AGAGUUUGAUCCUGGCUCAGAUUGAACGCUAGCGGGAUGCCUUACACAUGCAAGUCGAACGGCAGCGCGGACUUCGGUCUGGCGGCGAGUGGCGAACGGGUGAGUAAUGUAUCGGAACGUGCCCAGUAGCGGGGGAUAACUACUCGAAAGAGUAGCUAAUACCGCAUACGCCCUACGGGGGAAAGGGGGGGAUCGCAAGACCUCUCACUAUUGGAGCGGCCGAUAUCGGAUUAGCUAGUUGGUGAGGUAAAGGCUCACCAAGGCGACGAUCCGUAGCUGGUUUGAGAGGACGACCAGCCACACUGGGACUGAGACACGGCCCAGACUCCUACGGGAGGCAGCAGUGGGGAAUUUUGGACAAUGGGGGCAACCCUGAUCCAGCCAUCCCGCGUGUGCGAUGAAGGCCUUCGGGUUGUAAAGCACUUUUGGCAGGAAAGAAAUCGCAUGGAUUAAUACUCUGUGUGGAUGACGGUACCUGCAGAAUAAGCACCGGCUAACUACGUGCCAGCAGCCGCGGUAAUACGUAGGGUGCAAGCGUUAAUCGGAAUUGCUGGGCGUAAAGCGUGCGCAGGCGGUUCGGAAAGAAAGAUGUGAAAUCCCAGGGCUUAACCUUGGAACUGCAUUUUUAACUCCCGAGCUAGAGU
rnacentral:rRNA from 1 species